CUCGGCGUGGUGUAAUGGCUAACAUUAAGGAUUCUCACUCCUUAGCUCAGGGUUCGAUUCCCUGCACCGAGG
rnacentral:tRNA from 1 species